CUCUGCUUAGCACGAGUGUGUUGUUCCCACUGGAAAUGGACCGCUGUGUUAUUACAGCUGCAUUUAUCGCAGGUGGUCCUGAGGGGAGUGGAAAACGGACAUCGUUCCAGCACUAAUAACUUUAAGUAGAAUAUAUCAUUACUACAUGGUCAGGAAGCAGAGAGAGCCUGAGAUAACAACCCGUACCAACUUACCGCGAUGGUUAAGGGUGUGAUUCUAUAGUUGGAUACUUGGAAGGAAAAAUCCUGGAGGACAAGUGACAGCGAGAUUUGGAGGGAAGCGUGUGGAGGGACUGACAGAAAUGGGGCCAGAAUGACAUCACAAAUGUUCACCAGAAGGAUUCCAUGGCUGCGGCAGGUCUCAGAUCCGAGAUUGUUGAGAUUUAUUUUUUCCAUGAAAGACAGACACAGAGAAUGAGACACACAGACAUCCUAAGAAGGUCUUCAAGCUGCAACUCACGUGGAUCUCGGCUGCUUGGUGUCAUUCACGUCUAGGACUGCCUCCACCACCCCUGCUAGAAGUCAUCGCUGCGAGAAGACAAUCAUGGGGUGUCAUGUUCGUCACUCAGCUCCUCUCCCAAACUGAUGGGCAAUUCUGGCGGCCAUUUCUACCAUGUAACAUGAGAAAGAGGGGAUUCACCGUCCCUCCUUAAUGUGGAGGGAGAAAAUGGCUCUGUUUGCCACGCUCCCAGGGUUGGGAGGUCCUGCGAGCCUUCACCUGGAAGUGGAAGUGGAAGGUGCUAAUAGGCAACCCUGAAUUCAAUACACACUGAAAAUACACUGGCUCAAUCGGAGCUGCUGAGCUUUCAGUGGGCGUUCUCAGGUGCAGGAGGAAAAUGCCGUGGCUGGCUCCGCUCACAUUCUGGCUGAUUAAUACGCUGCUAAACCCGCUUUGGAGCUCUGCCAGGAGAAAUGUAAACAGCAAAAGAAUUUACUCUAUAAGUAUCUAUCUUUUUGCCAAAUUGUGGAAGGAAAAUGUGUUUAAGAAAAAAAAAAAUGUUAGGAGGAUGUGUUUUUAUUACAUGUAUGCUCAUCCGAUUCCGGCUCUGUAAAACCCAUCAAAACCACGGAGUAUUUAAAAUCAGCUGCAAUCACCUUGGUCGAUUGCUGAUUUACAAGAUUAAAAAUGUUUUAACCCGAAGAUGAAGGUGCAUUAAUAAA